ACCUGGUUGAUCCUGCCAGUAGUGAUACGCUGUCAUUAAGGACUAAGCCAUGCAUGUGUAAGUAUAAGAAGUACUCGAGACUGCGAAUGGCUCAUUAUAUCAGUUAUAGUUUAUUUGAUAGUCCCUUACUACUUGGAUAACCGUAGUAAUUCUAGAGCUAAUACAUGCGUCAAGAUCCGACUUCGGGAGGAUUGUAUUUAUUAGGUUACAAAACCAACCCUCUCUCGGGAGGUUCUUUGGGUGAGUCAUGAUAAGCAUGCGGAUCGCAGGGCUUUACGCCGGCGACGGAUCAUGUAAGUUCCUGCCCUAUCAGCUUCGGAUGGUAGGGUAUUGGCCUACCAUGGCAUUAACGGGUAACGGGAGAUCAGGGUUUGACUCCGGAGAGGGAGCCUGAGAAACGGCUACCACAUCCAAGGAAGGCAGCAGGCGCGCAAAUUACCCACUCCCGGCACGGGGAGGUAGUGACGAAAAAUAACGAUACGGGACUCUUCCGAGGCCCCGUGAUUGGAAUGAGUACACUUUAAAUCC
rnacentral:rRNA from 1 species